GAAAUGCGAUAAGUAGUGUGAAUUGCAGAAUUCAGUGAAUCAUCGAAUCUUUGAACGCACAUUGCGCCCCUUGGUAUUCCAUGGGGCAUGCCUGUUCGAGCGUCAUUUGUACCCUCAAGCUCUGCUUGGUGUUGGGUGUUUGUCCCGUCUCCGCGCGUGGACUCGCCCCAAAGUGAUUGGCAGCCGGCGUACUGGUCUCGGAGCGCAGCACAUGUCGCGCAAACGAGUGCCUUGGUACGGCGGCGUCCAUAAGCCCCUCUCUCACGCUCUUGACCUCGGAUCAGGUAGGGAUACCCGCUGAACUUAAGC
rnacentral:misc_RNA from 1 species